UGAGUAACGCGUGAGGAACCUGCCUUCCAGAGGGGGACAACAGUUGGAAACGACUGCUAAUACCGCAUGAUGUGUUUCGAUGACAUCAUCGAGACACCAAAGAUUUAUCGCUGGAAGAUGGCCUCGCGUCUGAUUAGCUAGUAGGCGGGGUAACGGCCCACCUAGGCGACGAUCAGUAGCCGGACUGAGAGGUUGACCGGCCACAUUGGGACUGAGACACGGCCCAGACUCCUACGGAAGGCAGCAG
rnacentral:rRNA from 1 species